GACGAACGCUGGCGGCGUGCUUAACACAUGCAAGUCGAACGGAAAGGCCCUGCUUUUGUGGGGUGCUCGAGUGGCGAACGGGUGAGUAACACGUGAGUAACCUGCCCUUGACUUUGGGAUAACCUCAGGAAACUGGGGCUAAUACCGGAUAGGAGCUCCUGCUGCAUGGUGGGGGUUGGAAAGUUUCGGCGGUUGGGGAUGGACUCGCGGCUUAUCAGCUUGUUGGUGGGGUAGUGGCUUACCAAGGCUUUGACGGGUAGCCGGCCUGUGAGGGUGACCGGCCACAUGGGGACUGAGAUACGGCCCAGACUCCUACGGGAGGCAGCAGUGGGGAAUAUUGCACAAUGGGCGGAAGCCUGAUGCAGCAACGCCGCGUGCGGGAUGACGGCCUUCGGGUUGUAAACCGCUUUCGCCUGUGACGAAGCGUGAGUGACGGUAAUGGGUAAAGAAGCACCGGCUAACUACGUG
rnacentral:rRNA from 1 species